rnacentral:rRNA from 1 species
AUUGAACGCUGGCGGCAUGCCUAACACAUGCAAGUCGAGCGGAGCGGCGAACGGGUGAGUAAUGCCUCGGAAUCUGCCUGGUAGUGGGGGAUAACGUCAGGAAACGGGCGCUAAUACCGCAUACUAUCAGAUGAGCCUAGGUCGGAUUAGCUAGUUGGGGGGGUAACGGCCGACCAAGGCGACGAUCCGUAACUGGUAUGAGAGGCAGAUCAGCAACACUGGAACUGAGACACGGUCCAGACUCCGACGGGAGGCAGCAGUGGGGAAGAUUGGACAAUGGGCGAAAGCCUGAUCCAGCCAUGCCGCGUGUGUGAAGAAGGUCUUCGGUUUGUAAAGCACUUUUGGGUGGGAGGCGUUACCAGCAGAAUAAGCACCGGCUAACUUCGUGCCAGCAGCCGCGGUAAUUC